UGCCCACUUCAGCAGCAAUAUGCUAAACUUGGAAUUAUACAGAGAAAUGAGCAGGGCCCCUGUACUAGAAUGACAUGCAAAUUUGUGAAAGCAUUCCAUAUUUUU